rnacentral:piRNA from 1 species
UUCCAGGUAACUAAAAGUUGAUGUUGAAA